rnacentral:lncRNA from 1 species
UCAGCCUGGUCCUCGAGGCUCCCUCUUUUGUCCUUGGAGGCUGGAAUCAAGGUCAUGGUUCGUAGCUACAACAACACGCUGUCCUGGGGCACAGUGGCUCCAUACUACCAUUGGAGUUCAAGAGGUAAGCAGGGUUAUUGGACUUCCUGUCAAACCCAGGCGCUGAGGUAGGGCAGGUCCUCAAGAUGGAGUGAACAAAGUUGAAGCACCUUUCCCCCAAGACAAGGUGCGUUGGCUUGGAAGUCCCUGUUGCCCCUGCACCGGUGGUGCUAAGAUCAUGGAUGUGGGACUGCUGUACAAUACCGCAAACACCACGCAGGUGAGUGGGUGGCAAGGAGGCUCCCUGAAUCACGCGUAGGCAGGACCCUCAGCUUAAGUCCUUGCUGUCUCCUCAGGCAUGCCUGGCGUCCUGCUUCCAGCAGCUGAUGGUGGAGAUCUGCUCCAGCAAGAUCGCAGUUCUGCAGCCAUGAACAACAUCCCGCCUAGGGUCAUUGCUGCUACCGACUCUACCAGGAUCUGGAACCCCUCCAGCUUCCUAGUAUCUCCCACUGCCCCAGACCUUGAAGGCAAGAGGGGACAAUGAUGUUGGGAGUCUGGUAUCAGUUCCUGGGAGAGCACUGCAGAUGGCUGAUGGUGCUGUCUCGCCCAUAAUGUCUUUGUAUAAAAUCUUCGCAGGGACUUCCAGGUGGCCUUCAGCCAAACCUACUAGCAAGACCAGUGGAGCUCAAGCUGGAGCAAGAACCAGAGGUGGAUCUUAUCUCCAGGGACCCAUCCUGCCUU